rnacentral:rRNA from 1 species
AUGCUCCGGAUCAAGGGUUCAGACUCGAAUAGGGGGCUGCCAACGAGGAAGAACUCUACGGGCGUGCGUCGUGCCCACUCCAUGUUCCACGCAUGCAAGCGUGGCAUGGUUGAUUCUUGGAUAAAAAAUAAUUCAGAAAACCCUUGUGGUGAGAUGCUAAGAGACGUUAGAAACGAAGAGUAUACAAAGGUGUGUGAACGUUGA